AACGAACGCUGGCGGCAUGCCUAACACAUGCCAGUCGAACGAGACCUUCGGGUCUAGUGGCGCACGGGUGCGUAACGCGUGGGAACCUGCCCUUAGGUUCGGAAUAACUCCCCGAAAGGGGUGCUAAUACCGGAUAAUGUCUUCGGACCAAAGAUUUAUCGCCUUUGGAUGGGCCCGCGUUGGAUUAGCUAGUUGGUAGGGUAAAAGCCUACCAAGGCGACGAUCCAUAGCUGGUCUGAGAGGAUGAUCAGCCACACUGGGGCUGAGACACGGCCCAGACUCCUACGGGAGGCAGCAGUGGGGAAUAUUGGACAAUGGGCGAAAGCCUGAUCCAGCAAUGCCGCGUGAGUGAUGAAGGCCUUAGGGUUGUAAAGCUCUUUUACCCGGGAUGAUAAUGACAGUACCGGGAGAAUAAGCUCCGGCUAACUCCGUG
rnacentral:rRNA from 1 species